UAGUCCACGCCGUAAACGAUGGAUACUAGGUGUCCGGGAUAUUAACCUCCUGGGUACUACAGUUAACGCGUUAAGUAUCCCGCCUGGGGAGUACGGUCGCAAGGCUAAAACUCAAAGGAAUUGACGGGGGCCCGCACAAGCGGUGGAGUAUGUGGUUUAAUUCGAAGCAACGCGCAGAACCUUACCUACCCUUAACAUUUCACGACGUAUACAGAGAUGUAUAUUUCUCUUCGGAGACGUGAGGAUAGGUGCUGCAUGGCUGUCGUCAGCUCGUGUCGUAAGAUGUCUGGUUAAGUCCGAUAACGAGCGCAACCCCUAUCCUUAGUUGCCCCCAGGUAAUGCUGUGGCACUCUAAGGAGACUGCCCGUGUUAAGCGGGAGGAAGGUGGGGAUGACGUCAAGUCAUCAUGGCCUUUAUAUCCAGGGCUACACACGUGCUACAAUGGGUGGUACAGAGAGUUGCUAAUGCGCGAGCAGGAGCUAAUCUCAAAAAACCAUCCUCAGUUCGGAUCGGAGU
rnacentral:rRNA from 1 species